CAUAUCAAAGUACGUCCUGCCUAUAGAGAAAAAUUCUAGAAUGCACCGGAUAUAUUGGUGACGUGGCGUCACAAACCAAUCAAAUAUCUCCUUUUAGAGAUAUAUGUCCCAUCAUGAUUAUAAAAAAAUAUUUUUAUUGUACUUUUGUUUGAAAAGAAGAAUUGUGAUUGGCUUAUUAUUGAUGACGUGGUGCAAGCGUGACAUUGUAGAAUUUCUCGCCUAUAGAUCUGGUUCACCAAAAAAAAAAAGUUUUAUUUGUC
rnacentral:lncRNA from 1 species